rnacentral:rRNA from 1 species
AUUCCAGCUCCAAUAGCGUAUAUUUAAGUUGCUGCAGUUAAAAAGCUCGUAGUUGGAUUUCGGGUGGGAAUGGCCGGUCCGCCGUUUCGGUGUGCACUUGCUACGCCCACCUUGCUGCCGGGGACGUGCUCUUGAGUUUGCGCUCGGGACACGGAGUCGGCGAGGUUACUUUGAGUAAAUUAGAGUGUUCAAAGCAGGCCUACGCUCUGAAUACAUUAGCAUGGAAUAACACGAUAGGACUCUGGCCUAUCUUGUUGGUCUGUAGGACCGGAGUAAUGAUUAAGAGGGACAGUCGGGGGCACUCGUAUUUCAUUGUCAGAGGUGAAAUUCUUGGAUUUAUGAAAGACGAACUACUGCGAAAGCAUUUGCCAAGGAUGUUUUCAUCA